rnacentral:rRNA from 1 species
CCUACGGGAGGCAGCAGUGGGGAAUAUUGCACAAUGGGGGAAACACUGAUGCAGCGACGCCGCGUGAGCGAUGAAGUAUUUCGGUAUGUAAAGCUCUAUCAGCAGGGAAGAAAAUGACGGUACCUGACUCAGAAGCCCCGGCUAACUACGUGCCAGCAGCCGCGGUAAUACGUAGGGGGCAAGCGUUAUCCGGAUUUACUGGGUGUAAAGGGAGCGUAGACGGUCCUGCAAGCCAGAUGUGAAAGCCCUGGGCUCAACCCCGGGACUGCAUUUGGAACUGUAAGGCUAGAGUGUCGGAGAGGCAGGCGGAAUUCCGAGUGUAGCGGUGAAAUGCGUAGAUAUUAGGAGGAACACCAGUGGCGAAGGCGGCCUGCUGGACGAUGACUGACGUUGAGGCUCGAAAGCGGGGGGAGCAAACAGGAUUAGAUACCCUAGUAGUC